AUGAGCGCCAGCAGAGCCAGCAGCGGGAGUAGGCAGCCAGCGAGCAGGGCCAGCGUCACCAUCCGCCACUGUCAGGCCUGCGCUGGGGGAGGCAGAGGGCUGAGCACCCCCGCACCCCCUCCCGCCACCCUGCUGCGGCCUCCCCUGGGCCCCCUCUGGGUAUUAAAGACCCCAAAGUUUGGGGGAUGUGGGGUGGGGGGCCCAGCGCCCCCCCCGCGCCCCGCGCUUACUGGCCGACCACGCUCUGCCUGGGCUGGGCACCAUGCUGCCCUGGCGGUGGGUGGGUGCGGGGUGCUGGGGGGGACCCCGUGGCUCCAGGGCCUGAGCUGCUUGUGCCCCAGCCCAGCACUCCGGGAGCCUGGGCAGGGGGCAUGGCGCCAUCGCCAUGGUGAUGGAGCCCCCUGGCCGCCAUCUUGGGGCCUUGGGGGCCAUCACCAUGGAGAUGGAGUCCCCUGGCUGCCAUCUUGGGGCCUUGGAAGCUGUCACCAUGGAGAUAGAGCCCCCUGGCCACCAUCUUGGGGCCUUGGGGGCCAUCACCAUGGAGACAGAGCCCCUUGGUGGCCAUCUUGGGGCCCUGGGGGCUGUCACAGAGGACAUGGAGCCCCCCCAGCCGCCAUCUUGCAGCCCAGUGGGUCAGGGGACAGGACCAGGCUGUCACCCCAACCCCCAGCCACCAUCUUGGCCCCGUGGACUGUCACCAUGAAGAUGGUGCCCCCCCCCCCCGGCCACCAUCUUGAGGCCAUGGGGACUGUUGCCAUGGAGAUGGAGCCCCCCCAGUUGCCAUCUUGUGGCCCUGAGGGCCUGGGGUGGCUCCUGCGCACCUCUCACUUCCAUGGGGUUAUUGUAAACCCCCCCCAACACUGCUCCAUGGCGUCGGGGGCCAUUCCAACCCCCACCCCCCAGGGUAUCGAACCCCCCCUCCAAGACAGGGGGUGGCUGUUGCCAUCAGCAACCGACUCCUGGUUCCUUCCCUCGUCACUGUGGCGACGUGUCCGUUGGGGCCAGAGCCCGACCGAUCCCCCCUCGCCGAGCAGCAGGGCGCCAUGGAGGAUCGCAGGAUCGGCUCCCUCCCCCAAUCAGAGGGCCCCCCCUGGCCCUUACAGGGACAACACCCGCGUCGAAGGUGGGGGGACUCUGAUGUGUCCCUGGCUGUGGUGGGACCUCAGGGAUGCAAAAGCUUCCUCAUGUCCCCAGCAACGGUGGGACCUUGGAGGUGCAGGAGAUCCUUUGUGUCCCCAGCCUGUGGUGGGAUCCUGGCAGUGCCAGCUCCCUUGUGCCCCCGGCUGUGGCAGGACCCCGUGGGCACCAGCCCCUCCGUGCCUCGUGUCCUCGACCCCCCCACUUUCCCCACUGCAGGCCACAACUGCAGCACGUGUGACAUCAGGCGGGUGCAGCGUGCCACAAACUGCUACCUCUUCUCGGAGAUGA
rnacentral:lncRNA from 1 species